GGGGCUGUAGCUCAGCUGGGAGAGCACCUGCUUUGCACGCAGGGGGUCAGGAGUUCGAUUCUCCUCAGCUCCACCA
rnacentral:tRNA from 2 species